UACAGAGGUCUCAAGCGUUGUUCGGAUUCAUUGGGCGUAAAGGGUGCGUAAGUGGCGCUGUAAGUCGGGUGUGAAAUUUCGGAGCUUAACUCCGAAACUGCAUUCGAUACUGCGGUGCUUGAGGACUGGAGAGGAGACUGGAAUUCAUGGUGUAGCAGUGAAAUGCGUAGAGAUCAUGAGGAAGACCAGUGGCGAAGGCGGGUCUCUGGACAGUUCCUGACACUGAGGCACGAAGGCCAGGGGAGCAAACGGG
rnacentral:rRNA from 1 species